rnacentral:rRNA from 1 species
UACGGGGGGUGCGAGCGUUGUCCGGAAUUACUGGGCGUAAAGCGUGCGCAGGCGGCUUUGCAAGACAGAUGUGAAAUCCCCGGGCUUAACCUGGGAACUGCAUUUGUGACUGCAUGGCUGGAGUGCGGCAGAGGGGGAUGGAAUUCCGCGUGUAGCAGUGAAAUGCGUAGAUAUGCGGAGGAACACCGAUGGCGAAGGCAAUCCCCUGGGCCUGCACUGACGCUCAUGCACGAAAGCGUGGGGAGCAAACAGG